UCAAGAAUCUUCCCCAAUGGCCGAAAGGCUGAGGGAGCGACGCCGCGUGUAGGAUGAAUCCCUUCGGGGUGUAAACUACUUUUCUCAGGGAAAAAUUCUGAUUGUACCUGAGGAAUAAGGGGCUGCUAACUUCGUGCCAGCAGCAGCGGUAAUACGAAGGCCCCAAGCGUUAUCCGGAAUUACUGGGCGUAAAGAGUUCAAAGGCGGCUUAUUGUGUUCUCUGUUAAAUCCCGGGGCUUAACCUCGGUUCUGCGGAGAAAACUAGUAAGCUAAAAGAGGACGGGAGAGGCAAACGGAAUUACCGGUGUAGUAGUAAAAUGCGUUAAUAUCGGUAGGAACACCAAUGGCGAAAGCAGUUUGCUGGAACGGACCUGACGCUAUACGAACGAAAGCGUGGGGAGCGAUACGG
rnacentral:rRNA from 1 species